rnacentral:rRNA from 1 species
GGUCCUACGGGGCGCAGCAGUGGGGGAUAUUGCACAAUGGGGGAAACCCUGAUGCAGCGACGCCGCGUGAGUGAAGAAGCAUUUCGGUGUGUAAAGCUCUAUCAGCAGGGAAGAAGAAAUGACGGUACCUGACUAAGAAGCCCCGGCUAACUACGUGCCAGCAGCCGCGGUAAUACGUAGGGGGCAAGCGUUAUCCGGAUUUACUGGGUGUAAAGGGAGCGUAGGUGGCAGGGCAAGUCAGAUGUGAAAACCCGGGGCUCAACCCCGGGAGUGC